GUCUCUCUGUGUUUUUUCUCUCUUUCUUUCUCUCUAUACACUGUGUCUGUCUGGUUUUCAGGGCACUUUUUAAUUUUUUGCUUUCUCUCGCAUGCACAGACUCAAAUAUCUAGCCGAAGAUGCAAAGUGGUUGCUGCAGUCAUUGUCUUGAGGAAGAAAGCUCAUCAUUGCAAUGCCAUCUUUUCACUCGUGCUCGGUGAUUAAACUUCCCCAGCGUGGGGAUGGAAAAGAAGCUGGAAAUGAAACAGGAUUGGGGGAAAUCACAUUGCUGCAGCUGUAGCCUGCGUUGGCCCCUGCCAGACGUGUCCGGGUUUCUGGGGUCCUUGACAUUCAAAAGCAAUGUGAGAAAAUAUUCGGAGACAAAAGCUGCAGCCUAAAUGAUCAUUUUCUUUAUUUAACAUGGCAGCAGGCGCCGUGCGUGGGUAGGAUCAACAUGCUGCGUGUUCAGUUGGACUUCUCUCCCUGUCUCCCUUCGAAGAUGAAAGGAGAUAAUGUAAUCUUUCCUGUGCCAAAUAGGGACCCGAGGGCUGGCCUUACAGGUGCAUGAUGUGGGCGACCAUCUAGGGCACCGCGGUCGGAGGGGUGGGGCACCGUCUGAGUGCCACAAGCUGCGGACCUGGGCUGCUGGAGUGGGAGCGAUGAACAUAUAUGGCUGUUUCUAUUCGUGCUGGUGUAUUUUCAGCGAUGCCUGUCAACAUCCACCAGAGAGCAGGGCAGCUCCAAUACCCACAUCUUUUAUGCUGUGGAAAUCAAUGGGGACAGCAACACAGCCAGCUUCCUGACCAAACAACAUGGAUUGCAGUUCAUUUCAAAGGAGCAGGCAAUGGCAUCAUCCAAAUGACCCAGUGUCUGAAAGAAAUAAUUACCUGACUGAAGAACAGUGGGCUCAAUUUCAACCCAGGCAAGAUGGAGAUGAAACUGGUAAGAAAAUGGAAGCACUUCAAGGAAAUGGCAAAAAUGAUGGUGGCAUCUCUAUUCAGGGCAUUUGCUCUCUGAUUGUCAAGGUGAUGCACAGUCUUUCCUAAUCCUGGGCUACCAAGUAGCAACAAUGGCCAGAAAUGCCUUCUUCAGCGAGGCAGAAGACUGCCCCCUUUGCUCGCUGAUGUGUACCUUGCCACAGUAAUUCAUGGCCACGCUGGAUUACUGCAAAAUGCUCCCUCCCUUUGGGCUGUCUGUGAAGGUUGCAUGGAAGCAUCAGAUGACAGAAUUUGUGACACAAAUUAAGGAGAGCAUAUCUCACCAUUUCGGUACCCAGCAUUGGCUCUGCCCACAAUACUGGAAGUGCUUUGAGGUUGUGGUAAUCAUUUCAGCUCUUUCAGUCGGCUAGGAUGUUGCUGUUUCUGGGGCUUUUUCUCUCUCUACCAGUUUUAGAACACAACAAUCUACAGGGACAGGACAGGUAAGCGAGCCCAGGAUGGAACUCUGAGGUUUGGAGGGCACAACUUUCUUGAUGGAGGCCCUUUUGUGAUGGAACUACCUGAUGGUAGAGAUCAGGCUGAGUUUGAAUCUUGCCAAGUACAGGCACAAUGCAAGACUCCCCUGUUUGCACAGGCCUUCCUACAGUAAAGGUUGCCAAAUGGCCCAAUGGCAUUCCUUUCCUCUCUGUGUGAUCCAGUCCUAUUUGGACAAUAAUUUUUGGUUCUCCUGUUCAUAUUCGGCCCUUAGAUCCUAUAACGCAUUAUAAAUUAACAAAUACUAUGAAUAAGGUGUCGUGCAGCAUCUUGUUGGUGGUACCUCAUUAGCCCCAUGAGAAAUAGAAAUUUAAAACAAAACCAUAGACAAAUGGAUAUGGACAUACAGUGUGGGAUAAAGCUAUGUUUGUGCUAGUAGCCAACUAAAGCAGCUAUGAAUAUCAGGUUUGAUUUAGUUGUAUAAAUUGCUUCAAUGGUGAAUAAUAGUAUUACAAAACUCAUCACUUAUAUAGUGAUGAGAACCCCAUAUCACUUCACAAACAUUAGUUCAUUAUUAAGUCUCACAACACUAUAGGAAGUAGUACUAUGUUUUUUCUCUGCAAGAUGACUUUUCCCCCUCCUUCACCAGAUUGAUGCUCCCUUCCUUAUUAUGUUUAUGAUGGUAUUAUAUAUAAUUUACUUUGCAUACACUUGUGACACACAAUUUUGUAUUCUAAAUCAUAUUGUGGCUCUUUGAUUCUUCUUGUUGAAAAAGGGACUCUGGCUGAUAAUUGCUGAAUGCUUUAUGAAUAGCAUGGCUGGAGAAAUGAAAUGCUAGAAUUUCUAACAACAACAGUCUGCAGCACUGAAAAGAGAAACUUAAUUAUAACCAGAACCCAAAAUAUAUUAUUUGAUUUUUUUUAAAAUAAAUAUUUUUGUGUAAAACUAGUGUUCAUGAAAAAUCCUGGUUUAACAGCACUGGAGACCUAUGUCUUCCUUUUUUAUUUUUAGAGUGGAUACUGUACAAGCAGCAGGAGUUUGAACUUAUUGACACAGCUGGACUGGGUGGAUGAGACAGCUAUACCGCUGCCUACCGUGGGAAAUUUGAAAUGCCUAAGUCUUUCCUUUCGGCGGCAGCCGCCUGGUGCGAUUUCUAUCCCCUCCCAUGUUUUCCUUUCCUCAUACAAACAUGUACCUGUUUUCUCUCUCCCACUUGGGGAAAAAGGUAUCAUAUAAUAUUUUUUGGGCUUUUUGUUUUAAAUCGGGAAGAGAAUAUAUCUGUGUUGCCAACCUCAAUUAUUCAAAAAUUGGUAGGACCCAAAAAUAAUGAUUCACUUAAAAAUCAUGAAAAGUUAAGACCCUUAAUCUUUUUCUUUGCCUUCUGGUUUUUGAGCCUUCAGGGUCAUGUUUCCAAGGUUUUUUCCACAACCAUGAAAGCUAGACUCUCUUAUGUUUCUUUUUAAAAGUAAGCUGAAAUUCUUCUGUAACCACAUGACUGCAAGAACUGGGACUUGAAAAAAG